rnacentral:rRNA from 1 species
GACGAACGCUGGCGGCGUGCUUAACACAUGCAAGUCGAACGGAACUGCCCUGCUUUUGUGGGGUGCUCGAGUUGCGACCGGGUGAGUAACACUUGAGUUACCUGCCCUUGACUUUGGGUUAACUUCAGGCAACUUGUGCUCAUACCGGAUAGGAGCUCCUGCUGCAUGGUGGGGGUUGGAAAGUUUCGGCGGUUGGGUAUGGACUCGCGGCUUCUCGGCUUGUUUGUGGGGUUGUGGCUUACCAAGGCUUUGACAGGUAGCCGGGCUGAGAGGGGAACCGGCCAAAUUGGAACGGGGAUAAGACACAGACUAAUACGGGAGGCAGCAGUGGAGAGUAUUGCACAAUGGGAGGAAGCAUGAUGCAGCAACGCCGCGUGCGGGAUAAGGGCCUUGGGGUUGGAAACCGAUAUCGCCUGUGACGAGGCGUGAGUGACGGUAAUGGGUAAAGAAGCACCGGCUAACUACGUG